GUAGUGUUGACCGCGGUAGCCCCCCUAC
rnacentral:piRNA from 1 species